AAUUUGAAAAAGGAUUGCGCCCGUUUUUCGCCGUAAAUGUUGCAGCCUAAUUUUGGAUCGAGAAUUAAGUGCGACGAAGAUGGCCGUUAAUAAUAGUUCUACUACUUUAAGAACACGGUUCAGAUUUGGAUAACGACUUCGAAGGCAUUCGCAGGAGACCAAACAGAGAAAGAGAGGGAGACACAAAACCACCUGUCUCGGUGUCACACAUGAGGAGUUGAGGAGGAGAUGAAGUCAGUGAAUAUGACCUGGCCUGGGGGAGUUUCCAGAAGAAGGCCCAGAAUCGCUGGAUGCCAGGAGUGGAGAUCCUUCGUUGCUGCCCUACAUGAUAGGAGGCAUCGGGCAGUAGAUGCUGUAAUUUGAAACGGAAGGUGUCCUGCCAAUAAAUUUUCAUCCCACCUGAACUGCCUUGCCUGCCUGCACCCAGUCAUCUGUUCCUGAGCAUUUUCAUUUUCCUCUAUUUUUCAUCAUCGUUUGUUUCGGCCUGUAUGAAGUGAAUUUCACAUUGAUUGGUGGAGCUGCUAAGUUGGCAUUACAGGGCCACGCCGGGGUAUGAUCCUUUGGGUUGAACAUCAUGACUGCUAGUUGGUCGGCAAAGGUGAUGGGAUCGAUCAAUGUCACAUGGAGUAAGAUCGAUACCAAUCUGCUUUGCUACAUUUCAAACAAUCUCAUACGGAUACGGAUAUUAUUGCGACAGGAGUACUGCUCGAUGUGGUCAAGCCUAUUUGACAAAGCAUUAUGGUGUUAGUCAUGUUAUCAGAAACCGAUUUUUCAAAAUCACGGAGUUGCUUCAAUUUAGUAUCGAUAGAUAUUUCAAGAACGUGUAGACUAGUGAGCUUUUCAUCAAGAAUUUCACGCAAUUUAUUUUCGCGCUUAUCCAUGUCAUCAUUGAGUUUUUGUCUCUCGCGUUCCAUUGCCACGGCCACCGCUCUUUGAACGACUGUAUCAAUAUGAUCUAGGUAUGCUGGGCUUUGUUUAGAUCCAGUUAAUGAUGAAGCAGAGGAUUGUGUACAUGCGUUAGCCGAGUGCAAACGGCCUCUUGAUCUGGUGGAUAUCUUAGACAUGUUAGAGAUUACGUAAUGAUAUAAUUGAAAAGUGGGAUGGGCUGUGCAUCUGCCAACUCACCAGUCAACCAAUUAGAGACGGCCUUCCAAAGUGACACAGCACGAAAAUAUCAAUAUGGGACUGGUCUAGUCAACACAUAGAUCCUGACAAAACCAUGGAGACCGUAGACGCAAAAUGACUUCCAUACAUAAAGAUAUGAUGCACAAUUUCCAGUGGGUUCAAAACACUGAACACAUGCUAUGCUGAUACACAGACUAUCAUAUUAAAGAACUUUAUCAAGCAAAGGAAAUCUGGUAUGAAAUCUCUCAGCUCACAUAAAAAGCCUACGUAGCUACAUGUAGGGAAGAAAAUGUGUAAUUGCUGAGAAAUGAGCAAAAUAAGCAUGUAAUUCUAUCAAAUGUCAGAUAUUUUUCGAAUCGAUUAUAAUACACUGUCCCACAUAUGCUUUUCUGUGUUUACAGCGAUCAUCAGAAUUAUCGAUUUUAAGUUAAAAAAUUCAUGAUUUUACAAAGAUACAAGUUUACAUUAAUGUACCAGAUGUAGAUUAUGUACAAUAUAUUGACAAUGAACUUUGAUUUUAUAGAUUUUCUCAAGAAAUAAUUGUUUGCUGCAACUACUGUCUUUUCCUUCUAAGUGAUAGUGUAAUACAACAGUUCCACAAACUAUUUUCAUCAGACUUAUUGAUGCAUGAUUCUUUCACCCAAAUGCAAGCUUCCAUAAAUCCUGAAAACUUUGCAACUCAGGUAUUUUUUUUUUUUACAUACAGUAUAUUUUGUCCUACAUUGCAUAGUUGCCUUAAGUUAAUAGCGCACCUCUAGUAGUAACUAUCUUCAAAUGAGUUCGAACAGAAUCCAACAGAAUUACCAGCAAAGUGUAUGUAUAUAUAAAAGAUGUGUGCCAAAAAGCUCGGGAAGAAAAUGUGUAAUUGCUGAAAAAUGAGCAAAAUAAGCAUGUAAUUCUAUCAAAUGUCGGAUAUUUUUCAAAUCAAUCAUAAUACACUGUCCUGUCCCACAUAUGCUUUUCUGUGUUAGUGAUCAUCAGAAUUAUUGAUUUUAAGAUCAAAAUUCAUGAUUUUACAAAGAUACAAGUUUACAUUAAUUUACCAGGGCCCCGUCUUACAAAGAGUUAUGAUUGAUCCGAUCAAUCGCAACUAUGGACGGUCAGCAACGUUAACAUCUAUUAAGCAUGUUUGUUCAAAAUAUUUUCUAGCUAUGAUGUAUGUUCAUGCAUUCAUUGUUUUCUCAAAAAUUCGCUGCGCUUCUCUUUGCAUACAAAGGACAUUGUGCGAAUUUUUCGUAGAAAAAAUUAUGACACUGAUGGAUUUCCAUAGAGUUAUGAUUGAUCGGAUCAAUCGUAACUCUUUGUAAGACAGGGCCCAGAUCUAGAUUAUGUACAAUAUUUUGACAAUUAACCUUAAUUUAAGAGACUUUCCGAAGAAAUAAUUGUUUGCUGCAACUACUGUCUUUUACCCCUGGCCCUAAGUGAUAGUGUAAUACAACCCAAACAUUUCAUAAGAAUUAAUGUACAUGUAUGAUUCUUUCACCCAAAUGCGAGCUUCCAUAAAUCCUGAAACUAUUCCAACUCGGGUAUUUUUUUUUACAUACAGUAUAUUUUUACCUACAUUACAUAGUUGUCUAAAGUUGAAGGUAUAUUUAAUUACAAUUUCAACGAAAAAGCUUUAUUCUUGGAGAUCAUUAUGCCUCUGUUAUGUAUUAAUGUGUAUUUAUACAUGUACAAUUGUAUGUAUUGGUAUAACAAACAUUGUAAUUUCAUUCCUUUGACCCUAAUACUGCAUUUUCAUAGAAAAGUGUUUUUUUUUUUCAAUCUAUUUAGAGUUUUCAACAUUUUGUAUUCCUUUUUUUUUUGCUGGUAAUAUGUUAUGCAACUUUUAUUUAUUAAUAGAAUAUUUGCCACGAUUUCGU